AUGUCGAAGGAGCAAGAGGCGAAGGCCCGCUCCCAGCCCGACGAAGGGCUGCCGAGCGUGCAAAAGCGCCGCCAGGCGCGACCCAACCUACCACAGGCAGGACCGCCGGGCAGCCAGAGCCCGUCCUCAUCCAUCCAUGGGGUCAGGCUGCCACUGCUCCCCUGCCCAGAGAGGUCACAGGCGUUGAGGAACCAGAACACACAGACAGACAGGCCGGAGCUGAGGCAGGCACUGCCCCGCAGCAGUGCCACCAGUGAACGGAGAGAGCCUCUACCAGCCUUGCUGCCUCUGCCAAGGCAGGCAGCGACACUGACAGCCACACCCCGGCAUUCAGUGGGAGCUGCAAAUGUCCCCCGGCUGCCCGCUCUGCCAGCAGUAGGCUCCACCACUUCUGCGCAAUGCAGAGACCGCAUCGCGAGCACCAAGGCUGUCAGACUCCCCGAGGUCGUCCCACGUCCUCAAGGAAACCCGAGUAAACAGCAAAUGGCAGCAACUGCUGAGAGCUGGGGGACAGCCCUGCAAGUCCCCGCAUCCGUUCUGACGCCUCUGCAGGCCAGACCUGAGCAACACAACAGGCUACCCCCGAGCCAUGCUGCAGCCAAGAGCCCAAGACUCAGGGUGCAGCAGGGGGUACUAAGGCACCAUGCCCCUCCCAGCAGUCUGGCAACACCAGCAAGGACAGCCCAGGUGCCGGCAACCAAGACUGAAAAGACACCGGCAGCACAGACAGAAACAGAUGACCAUGCUCAAGAGGGCACGAGAGCUGCUGGUGGGACCUCCAAGCCAUGUUCCCUGGCAGCAGCACCGGGCCCAGCAGCGCAGGAAGACGGCAUUGCCUGCCACCCUCAGGGCGAGACCCCACACCCUGAGGACGUGGCACAGUGUCUGGACAGUGAGCCAGAGCCUCUGGAAGAGCUGGAGAGCACCGCUGCAGGACCAUCAAGGGAGGAACAGAGGGACUUGAUGCAGGGGGAGGAGCAAAGAGAUGCUGCUACCAAGGACCCGUCAGGAGGGAGGCAGCAGAAGGAAGCCACCUCGAACCUUCACCAGGACCCAGACGCAGCCCACCAGCAGGGGCCUGGCUCACCCCAUAACACUGGCAGAGAUUCUGCAGGAGAGGCAGUCAGCCACGCACAGAGUGCAUCUCUUGCCCUGUCAGGGACAACCAAUGCUGAGCCAGCUGCUUCUGCGCAGGCCGCAGGUCCUGCCAGUGAGGGGGACAAGGAGCCUCUGGGUGCAUCAGCACCCAGAGAUGCUAAUUCGCCUUCUCCCCUGCCUGCCGCUAUGCCUGACCCUUCCACAAACACCCAGGGAAGACCGUCGACAUUGCAAGACCGGGUCAAGAUCAACUGGGAUGUCUAUGGGCGCUCUUCCUUUCUGCCAGCAAUGCGGACCAUUCCUAGCGGGGAGAGGGAAGGCCGCCGGUUGUCCUGGUGGAACGUGUCCUGGCCGAGCAGCGUGAGGGUUCCAAGACUGCGAGGGAUCUGGGCAGCACGUGAUGGUGACACAGCUGCCGGCACUGCACCCAGCGCAUCGGGCAGCCAGGAGAUGGCAGGGAGGACCGCGGGCCAGCGCCUUCCCUACCUUUGCCCCUCAACGAGUAAGACCACUCUGCAGGAUGUUCAGGAAGAGUGGGAAGAGAGCCCCAAGAGAAAAGCUGUGGCAGAAGCAGACGACGUCCCACCCAGCAUGUCUCCUGCCCCAUCUGGUGAGGCCGAUGCCGGGCCUUCAGCUGCUCCUAUGGCUGCAGUUCCCGGGCCCGAGGAGCUCACCCCUGUCUGCAUGCCCGAAGAUGGAAAAUCUUCAGCCCCUCCCCUGGCUGUGGACCCUGUGGAGGAGGCCAGCACAGCACCUCUCACCCCAUCGGCAUGUGAGGAAGAAGAAGCAGCACCUUCUCCCCUGGUUGGGAGCCUUCUGCAAGAGGUUUCCUCCGAGCCCAGAGGCAGUGCACAGCGCUCCUCGCACUUCCAAGCAGUGCCAGAGGAAGGCCCAGGUAUGUCCCCAAGUGUGGAGCCAUCACAGCCCGCAGCAUGGAGGCUGGCAGCACUCCACGCACAGGGUCGGACCGUGCCCAACUGUCCCCUCCCUGGGGAAAGCCUUGGUGGCGGGGGCAGGCAGGGCCGUGCCCAGUGCCUGCCCAGCCCCUCACGUACAGCUCUCUGUCCCCCACAGGCACCGCUGCCCUCCCGCAUGCUGCAGCUCGCCGGCGAUGGCCCAACUUCUUCAGGACAGCGCUUCGGGCUCUGCGCAGGGCUUUCUCCUGCAGCUGCAUCACAGGAGACCGAGAGCAGCAGCAUGAGGCUGCCAGAACCAGGCAGCUCCCUAGAGAUGGCAGCUUCGGUCCCGAGGACGGGGCUUCUGAAUAAAAUCGUUCAGAACUCUUUCCUAGCUGAGGGCUGUCUCUUCUGUUCUGUUCUGUUCUGUUCUGUGUGCACGGGUGUCUACAGGCUGCGAGUGCUGCUGCUGGGGUCAAACCCCGGGGCAGUGGGUACCCAUUUCUGUGGUGCCAAUGCCUAG
ensembl:lncRNA